rnacentral:lncRNA from 1 species
CACAGACACGACAACACAAAUUAACUCAAUGAAACAAAGCAACUAAAUUGACAAGUUUUUUUUCAAGGUUAGAAUCAAGAAAUACACAUUCUAAUACAUCUAUUUAAUAAAAUCUACAACUUUCCAAAUCAAAUCAUGAACAUCUAAGGGGUUCAUACUUGUAUUCAAUCAAAUCCAAAUCCAUAAUCAAAAUAAAAUACACAUUUUAAAAUGCUAAAUCUCGAGAGGAAAAAAACUCAAGUAGGACGAUUUUUUUUGUUGUAAUAAUGCGACAUCAACAAAAACACAAAUUCUCAGUCGAAAACAUGUCAGAACACAGGCCCCGUCUAUUAUCUUAUUGUAGAUCCUGUGUCCUGGAAAAUGUGGAAGGUCUUAUCUUCCCCUGUGUAUUCUCUCUCUCAUGUGUUUUCAGGUUUCCUAACUGGGUAAAACAUUCGCUGAUUCUAAACAUUUUGCAAAUUUGGGGGAUUUUCUAUUGGACAAAAUUCUGGUAAGUCCCUUCCCAUUUGUUUCCGUUUAAUAAAUGCCUUGGAAUGAAUAAACCCCAGGGGUUGGAAUGAAUACACCCCAGGGGUUGGAAUGAAUACACCCCAGGGGUUGGAAUGAAUAAACCCCAGGGGUUGGAAUGAAUACACCCCAGGGGUUGGAAUGAAUACACCCCAGGGGUUGGAAUGAAUACACCCCAGGGGUUGGAAUGAAUACACCCCAGGGGUUGGAAUGAAUAAACCCCAGGGGUUGGAAUGAAUACACCCCAGGGGUUGGAAUGAAUAAACCCCAGGGGUUGGAAUGAAUACACCCCAGGGGUUGGAAUGAAUACACCCCAGGGGUUGGAAUGAAUACACCCCAGGGGUUGGAAUGAAUACACCCCAGGGGUUGGAAUGAAUACACCCCAGGGGUUGGAAUGAAUACACCCCAGGGGUUGGAAUGAAUACACCCCAGGGGUUGGAAUGAAUACACCCCAGGGGUUGGAAUGAAUACACCCCAGGGGUUGGAAUGAAUACACCCCAGGGGUUGGAAUGAAUACACCCCAGGGGUUGGAAUGAAUACACCCCAGGGGUUGGAAUGAAUACACCCCAGGGGUUGGAAUGAAUACACCCCAGGGGUUGGAAUGAAUACACCCCAGGGGUUGGAAUGAAUACACCCCAGGGGUUGGAAUGAAUACACCCCAGGGGUUGGAAUGAAUACACCCAGGGUUGGAAUGAAUACACCCCAGGGGUUGGAAUGAAUAACCCCAGGGGUUGGAAUGAAUACACCCCAGGGGUUGGAAUGAAUACACCCCAGGGGUUGGAAUGAAUACACCCCAGGGGUUGGAAUGAAUACACCCCAGGGGUUGGAAUGAAUACACCCCAGGGGUUGGAACCAAAAUGUUAUUACAAAUGUUUUUUGUUCUGAACAAAACCACAAUUAAAAGAUAAAAGGUGUGAAAUCAUAUAUAUAUAUAUUUUUUUUACAUUUAGCUCAUUUAAUUCCGCACCAAUCAGUGUGGACAGAGCAGCUUGCUAUGGAGCAGGCAA